rnacentral:rRNA from 1 species
UACGGGGGGGGCAAGCGUUGUUCGGAAUUACUGGGCGUAAAGGGCUCGUAGGUGGCCAACUAAGUCAGACGUGAAAUCCCCAGGCUCAACUUGGGAACUGCGUCUGAUACUGGAUGGCUUGAAUUCGGGAGAGGGAUGCAGAAUUCCAGGUGUAGCGGUGAAAUGCGUAGAUAUCUGGAGGAAUACCGGUGGCGAAGGCGGCAUCCUGGACCGACACUGACGCUGAGGCGCGAAAGCGUGGGAGCAAACAGG